rnacentral:rRNA from 1 species
AUGGCGCCCAACAGCACGGUUUCCCCAGCUUCAGUGCUGACCGAGGCGUCCAUCUCCACGCUGGCACUAGGCGGUGUGCAGGCUAGUGUAAUGGCACAAGGUCCGAUGAUCGAUACGGAGAUUGCCUUGGGUGCACCGGCAGUGGCUAAUGUUGAUCAUGCCGUGGACGCCCCUGAUUGGUGGUUGGAGGAAGAGACAGCAGAUUUUGACCCUUGCGUUGUACCUGCGGUUGCGGUUGAUGCAUGCGAGCUGUUGGGUGGGGACGAAAUGUCGGUGACAGUUGCUUGUACUGCUUUUGCUGAUAUAUCGCUGUUCCAGAUGGGCCGGAGGUCCAAGCUCUCCUCGCCGGCAGCUGCGCCAGAUGGAGCUUCUUCCUCAACUAUGGUGCCCGUGAAGAAGGUGCCCACACUCAACACGGCAUACAAUUCGGGGAUGCUGCAUUCCAUCGCCGGAGAAUGGAAUCCAAACAUAAAAGGUGUGUUUUCCGGGAUAGGCAUGGAGGAGUUGUGCAAGAUCAAGGACAUGGGCAACAAUAACCGUAUCUUUAGCAUGUCCCUGUUAGCUAGGAUAGAUCCUAAAGAUAUGAAGAUGGAUAUGGGCGAUGGGAAUCAUGUUGUUGUCAAUUCUAGGGAGGUGGCGAAAUGUAUAGGGUUGUCGCCGUGUGGUAGGAAGAUAGAUAUCCCGGGCGGGGCUUGCUUAGCGAACAGGGAAUCCUUGCUAGAGAACUUGCAUGCCAUCUUAGACACCACUAUGUCUAGGGCAAGUAGGAUCCCUAUCGUCAAAGUGAAGAAAAUCAUACAAAACGCAAGCAAGGUAGCGAUUGUAGGAGCAGAAAAGGAGAAGAUGAUGGUGGCGUGUACAAUCAUAGCCGCUUCAACAUUUCUCCUGCCUAGGGGAGCACACCCUAAAAUUGCAAAUGAACUACUUCCGGUCCUAGCUGAGCCGACCCAGAUCUCCGAUUACGAUUUCUGUGAUUAUGUUGUGGAGGGGUUGAGAGAGGGUGCUGCAAAGCUUAGGGAGGAUCUCCUACAUGACCCAUCUCAGCUGAGUCUCCAAGGGUGCCUUGUCAUCCCUCAGAUCAUUUUCUGUUAUUACCAUGAACACGGGAUGGAACGACGAGAGAACCUGCCGUUCCCUCGCUUGGCCUCGUACUCGGAUCUGUUCAUGAAACUGCAGAUUCGCAAGCAUGCAGCUAGGCUUGGUGUGGAAGCUGGAUUUGAGGCAGUGGAUGUCCCCAGGUCUCCGGCAAUCAAUGUCGUUUGUGGGAGCGCAACUCAAGCGCAAGGCUGGGCCAUGCCAGGUUCUAGUGUGCAUGCUCCUCCUACUGGAUUUUGUGUGGACCAUGCGACAGAGAUACCAGGAGAGAUUCUUGAUGCGUUUAGGGAGGCAGUGGAGCAUGGACUGAAGCAGCGUCAGCAGGAAUUCAUCAAAAUGGUGGAGACACUAGUCAAAGUGCUUGAAGAAAUCAAGACCAAGGCUGAUGCUAAACGGCAGAGAGACCUGGAGGACACACUUGGCGAUUUUAUCAACCGAGUGAAGAGGCAAGCUCCGAUGGCUGCCACAUUUCCUAAUGUGAGCCAAACCUUGCAUCGGCCCAGGGCAAGUACAGAUAUUACGCAAGAUCUGGCUGAAACCUCAAGGGAAGCUGCUAGGGCUUUGAUGUCAGUAGUUUUAGUUAAUGAAGAGACGCGUGGCAGACCAGAGACGAGUGCGAUGGGGGGUGCAUCAACGCCUAUGCAAGGAACUGACAUCAACUCACAAGCAGCAGUGCAUGCAAAUGCACGUGGUAAAGAUGUUGCUGUGCAAGCUGGUCUUGAUGAACCAGUGGAGAAGACUAUGAUCGUGGACAACAAAGGAAAGGGGCCGGCUGUUGACUGCGCACUUGACAAACUACCAUGCAUGAGGUCCUGGGAGUGGGAGGAGCUUCUUCUAGGGAUCAGGCUGUGCCUGUCCAUCACCAGGGGCAUUGCCACGACCAUUCCCAUAUGCAACAGGAGGCUUGCACUGCCUGAUUAUGGUGAACAGAGCCGGCCGGGCCCACUUGGUUAG